rnacentral:misc_RNA from 1 species
AAGUCGUAACAAGGUAACCGUAGGUGAACCUGCGGUUGGAUCAUUAAUGAAAUUGUGUAUUCCGACCAAAAGUUGGGAUGCGCGCAACAUUAUGUGAACAGUGAAUGUCUCUUGUGGGGGUAAAAGCCCACACCUGAACCUAGUAUAUACCAACUGCCUUAGUGUAUUUUUAUAAUGAAAAAACAACUUUUGACAACGGAUCUCUAGGCUCUC